AAAUUGCGUUUCUGGAGCGAUUUUCAUGUUUGGACCACCUGUAUAAUGCUCUAUAUAGAAAGAAUAGGUGCCCUAUUAGCCCAGAUACUCCAAAUUCAUGUUACAACUUAAAAACAUGCAAUUAUUGCUUCCUCAUAUUGAUUUUAAACACGUGCGACACGUGUAAAGCCGAAACAUCAAUUAAUUCAUCAAUAAUGAAAUAAGUAAGCAGUUAAUUGUUUUCCAAUGGUUAUCAUAAAGGGUAGUUUCCUAUAUUUCGUUAUACUCUUUCCGAUUUUCAACUUUGUGAUUUUGACUUGGCAAUUUUUGCCACCAUAUUUGGAAAAAUUGCACCGAAAUCGUUUUUAUCAGUAUUUUAGAUUGAAUUCAUAAUGAAGGUAGUUCUGUUUUGUAAAUUUUAUUUUUGAUAGUUUCACAUCAAUAACAUUUAACAUCAUUAACAUCUUACGUCCACAUAAAUACACACAUUUUCAGACAUUUUUAAAUAUAUUGACUUAAAAUUGUAAUACAACACGACAAACGCUACACUUCUUGAGACACUCUAUACUUUUUGUGGUACUACAAAGAUUCCUCAGAUGGCGCGACGAUGUUUGUUUUACUAAAAAUAUUCCAGCGAGUGAAUUUUGUUGUGUUGCAUCGGUGCGAUAACGAUAAGCCCACAUUCCAUACUUUCAGUUUGUGUUAUUCAUUGUUGCAAGUUCGGUAAAUCGCGUUAUAUCUGGUUGAUCUCCGGUGAUAAUUAGUGUUAAUAGACGUGUUUGGUCUUCUACUAGUUGUUUAUCGCGUGGUAAUUUUCGUAAUACUAAAUUUGGCGUGUUUAGUGUAUUCGCGAGUGUGUUUGUGGGGUUGUUGUCGUCGGGCGACGGCCGGAGACAUUUUGUGAACGCCAAGAAUUAAUUGAUUUGUGAAAAACAUUUUUGCCAUAAACAGAGGAGCAUGAACUAAUGCGCUAUCAGUUUCUACCAACUUGCCGUCGAUUCACCGUCUUCUAUAACUGGGAUUUUGCACCUGAUACAUGCAUCGUACAAAAACCAUUCUUUUAUCAGAUUGGAUUUUGCACCUGAUCCAUGUAUCGUACAAAAACCUUUCUUUCAUCAGAUUGGAUUUUGCACCUGAUCCUUGCAUCAUACAGCAACCAUUCUUUCAUCCAAUUGGAUUUUGCACCUGAUCCAUGCAUCGUACAAAAACCUUUCUUUCAUCAGAUUGGGUUUUGCACCUGAGCCCGAAUUCGUAGGAGAACCAUUAUUUUAUCAGAUUGGUUUUGCACCUGAGCCCGACUUCGUAGAAGAACCAUUCUUUUAUCAGAUUGGGUUUUGCACCUGAGCCCGACUUCGUAGGAGAACCAUUAUUUUAUCAGAUUGGGUUUUGCACCUGAGCCCGACUUCGUAGGAGAACCAUUAUUUUAUCAGAUUGGGUUUUGCACCUGAGCCCGACUUCGUAGGAGAACCAUUAUUUUAUCAGAUUGGGUUUUGCACCUGAGCCCGACUUCGUAGAAGAACCAUUCUUUUAUCAGAUUG